rnacentral:piRNA from 1 species
CAUCAAUUAUUUUCAUUUUCAGU